UCGUCUCCCCCGUCAUCCCUCCCAUUCUUUCCCUGUUCCGCCUACGCACAUCUGCAGACGUCAGCAUAGCGUAUUGCUUCUUCUCUGGUACUUAUCUGCACCUCGACCCCCACUCUCUUUUCCAACAGCAGCCCCCCCCCCUCCGAUCACAUCGAAGGUGAGCCGCUGUGCGUGUGAGUGUGUGCGUGUGUGCCGAGUGACGGUGAGACCACUGCCCUCGUUCGAUAUCGGUGCGCACUUGGAGAGAGAAGGAACAGAGAAGCAUAGUCUGUCCCCAAGAGACACGCGCACGCACACCGACGUAGCUGUGCCGAGGCGUAGACCGUGGCAGAGCGCCAUCUGGCCCUACCACCCUUCAUCUCUUUCUCUCGCUCCCAUCAGCGGCUCUAGCACCGUGCUCCUUGAGUUGUUGGGCAGACACCUUGUUGGCCCUCACAGACUUGUACAAACCUGCCGCGGAGGCGGACACACGCAACGGCAGGGUUUGCAUCCCGCUUCUUCACGCCCUUUUGCUUGAUCUUGCUUCGCUUGCGUGGUUGCUCGGCCUCCCUUGUACCCCGCUGCCUGCGCAGAGGCGGCCUCGUAUCUCUCGAACUCUACGUCUUGGUGACCCCGCCCGUGCGCUUCCAUCGGAGGGCACCGCGCCUGUUUGUUUUUCCCGCAGCCACACUCCAUCGCACCUUUCGUUCCUUCGCGUUUCUCUCUGGCUGACGGAUGGGUUGAGCGACUCUGCGGUGGCGCCGCUGCGGCUUCCUUUUCGUGUUGUGCGUGUGUGUCUUUGUGGUGGUGCUCUUCCGCCACCAGCACAAAACGCGGCGUUGUCUUGAGCAUCGUCAUCGACGACGACGACGACCACCACCACCACGGCCCCCACCACCACCAGUCGUCUUUCUUCUGACACUUCCCCCACAUAUCUCGUCGUGUGCGCGUGCGGUCGUGGCUGGCUGCAUCCAUUCGUGUCGGUGCGUACCAUUCGAGCACGACGUUUUGCCCUGGUAGGCAGCACGCUACCGAAUCUCGUCGGCGGUGCAUCAUCCCACCCCUCCCCAAAUUCUUUCCCCCACCCCCUUUUUUCGACCCGAAUGCGAGAUUCCUGUCGAGCGCGCACGCCGUCUCCGUCGCAUCUCGUACCGCGGGACUGCGAAGGUGCCUCCAGUAACACCUGUGGCAGCGGUGGCGGUGACCCCACUGUGCGACCGAACUCGACUACGGCGCGUCCGCGACAACGUCCGCACCACCACCAGCAGGGCCCUCGCAGGGGGCGCCACUUCACAGACACACAGGAGGGUAACGGCAAGAGCAGCCGCUCGAGCCGUGGCAGCGUCGGCGGCUGCGUCGUGCCGAUGUGGAUGAAUGCGCCUCCGAAUGUGGUGGGCGGCGUUGAGAGGAUGGCAAACAACUCACACCAGAGCUCGCUGUCGUCGUUUGCGGCCGCGGUGGUGAAUCGCCCGCCAGGGACCUCCACAUCUCCGACCACGCAGCACAAGCAGUGGGAGGCGGCUGCGCGUUCGACGAGUGGAGCUGCCUCGACCUCGCUGGCUGCGGCCGUCGCGUUCGGCCCAUCGGCGUGCGUGGUGGCAAGCGGUGCCGCUGUUUCAGGAACGCAACGUAGCGACCACAGUCCCACUGGCACUGCAGCAAGGGUAGCGCAGAUGCCAUUGCGGGGUGCGCCCAGCGCGGCUGCAACACCGCGACACGACUGCCCAUCGCGUGAUUCGUCGGGGUAUCCUCAGGGGUCAUCCCCCACCUCCCUUCGCCUUCACGCGACUGCCUCAACAGCUACCGGCACCGCCACCUGCGGCAACCUCGCUGAUGCGCAGCGCCGCCGCAGGCUCAAGCCACCGCCAAUCAUGAGCGACGUUGCCAGUGCCUCGGGUCGUCGCUCGUGCUCGUGCCCCAGUACUCGCAGCGCCACGGCGAUAGAGGCCACCAUCGCGUCCUCUCCACUUGCGACCUACACCGUUGUGGCAGCAAGCCCGAGAGCGGCAGCGGCAGUGACGCACCCGGCUCGCACACUUCGAAGCGCCGGCAGCCCGGCGAGGCCAAGCGAUAUGCUACCACAGGGGCCCGUGCCACCCCCUAACCCCGACUUCAAGCCUCUUGGGCUGUGGAGCACCUCGCCUGCCUCCGCCGCCGCCUCAACUUCAGCGACCACUCUAGAGCUCAAGGCGUCAACGGCAACAGCGAGCGGCGCAGAUGUCGGCAGUCUCCUCACGCACGAGAUGGACGGCGGCGUGGUCAUCGUUGACCCUCACCAGACGCCGGACGAUCUCGUCUGCGGUGUGUGUAUGUGUGUGUGCCGGCAACCGACAGCAGCGGCCUGCGGGCAUCUUUUCUGCCGUCGCUGCCUUCAAUCGUGGAUGCAGGAAAAUCGGACUGCAACAUGCCCGCUGGACCGAACCCCGAUCCGGGUGGAGCUGCUGCACACCGACGCCCGCGCGCAGCGGCAGAUCAACGCGCUGCGAUGCCGCUGCCCCGCCUCGCUCUCUCGGGCAUCGCAGUGGGCGUUGCGGCAGCUCGGGUCUGCGAGUCAUGUGCUAGGCGACAGAGCAGUGGAGGACGAGGCGGACAAUGAUGACGCGAGGGGCGAUGAACGCGCACGACGGGAGCACCCGCGAUGUACGUGGGCUGGAUGCGUGUCGGACGCUGAAGCACAUUUGCGUCAGUGCCCGUACAUCAUCAUCGAGUGCCCAUUCGCCAAGCGCGGCUGCUCGGCGGAGAUGCCACGGGUAGAUAUGGCGGGACACUUGAAGAGUGGCGUGGCGGACCACCUGCUGCUUGUCUCGCAGGCCCUCGACGCGUCCACGGAGCAGUACCGGGUCUUGCAGGGGGAGGUGGAGGUGCUGCGGCAACGCUGCCCCAUGCAUUAUCCCGUCGCCCUCCCCGAUGUGCCCACAGGCGGACCAGCCGGAAUUUCGGAGCCGGCGGUGUCGCUGUACUCGUUAUCCUUGCAUGGAGCGGAUGUGCCCGCAGCGGCGCUGGCACCGGCUCUCGUCAUCGCCGGCGGCGGCGGCAGCAGCAGCGGUGCAACUCCCAUUGCGAUAACGGCGUUCCCAGAGGAAGUAUCGCCGGAGAGCGGCUCCCCGACUCGAGUGGUGGGGCCGUUUGGCCACGGCGCAUCCGCCGCGGUCGACUACCCGUUCCCUGUCUUUUCGCAUUCGCAGCCGCCGUAUCCACCUCCGCACCACGGUUCAUCGACGAUAGCCACGCAGACCAACGUGCGCCGGCACGCAGCUACCGACGAUAUGCUGCUUGUUGCCGCCCACCGCAUGUCCAGCGGACACGAUGCCACAAUGCCGAUGCCGGCGGACACGACGGCGCUGUGCACUUCACCGCAUUUUGGCGCACCACCGACCUCCGUGUCCGGCGCCAACACAGCAGCGGCGGCGCCGACCUUCGCCCUUCCUGCCGGUGCAGCAGCACCGAUCCCUGCCCAAGUUGCUAGCGCUCCUCCGCGUGCGGCGCCGGUGGUGGGCAGCGGCCACUGCGUGGAUCGGUUUGUUUGGGUCAUCACCGACAUGGCGUCGCGACAGGCGCCAUGCUACAGCCGCUCCUUUACCUCGCACGGCCUGUCAUGGUAUGUGGGCAUUGACACCACCGCCUCAUGGGAGCAGUGUGGAGUAUACCUCUUCACCGAGGGUCACGAGCACCGUGUCGACUUCCGCGUGAUCCUGUACCACGAGGACCCGGCACGUGACGUUGUGCACGUCGUGCGGGACUGGCAGGAGGACUACAUUGGAAAAGGCUGGGGCCCACUGCGCUUCAUCAACCGUUUCACGCUAGAGCAAGACGGCUUCCUCGUGAGCGGCUGCCUGCGCGUGGGGAUCGAGGUGGUGAGUGGACCGUACUGAGCGUGCGCGCUCCUCAAUGGAAGCAUGUGUGCUAAGGUUCACCCCAUGCACGCACGCACCGCCCCUGCAGACGACACGAAGGUACACUCGCAGAUGGCAAAGAAGCCAGAUAGAGAGAGACGGCAGCGCAAGAGCAGGCAGAGAGGGACCAGGCGUGGUUUGCGUUAGCGCGCGAGAUCGAUCCCACAUCGAACCUAUCCCUCCCUUCCGAUCUCUCACACUCACCUCCCUCCACGCACUCGCAUCCCCUUACCAUCAAAUAUAUAUAUUUCUUCCAUGCAAGGGUGUGGUGGAGACCAUCGCUUCACGUUUCUUGGGCGCGUGUGCGCAGGGUGCACGCCGGCGCAUGUGGGUUGGCGUUUCGCUCGCAUUUCUGUCUUGCCUCCCUUCUUUUUCGCAUUGCUUCCUUCGCUCGGGCGCGCGCUGAGUUGAGCUGGAGCGACUCUGCACACGCACAUCCACACGCUCACCCUCGCAGACACGUACCCGAUACACCUGCCCGUAAGUGCGUGCGUGCGCGUUUCUCUCUGAGUAGUUCAUGUUUCUUUCUCUGCUGUGGAGCUGCUCAGAUGACGUCGGAGGAGGGGGGCACGCGCACCCCUCCGCGCGUGGCAUCUCCGGGUCCGGUGUGUCCAGCUCGGUCUGGGUGGACGCCGAGCAGCCCCCUCUCCCCGCCCCCAUCCCGGCCGAAUGCCGAGCCACUUCUGGCGGUGCGCGUGCCAAGCGCCUACGACGUGGGCGAGUGAGAGCGAGUCGUCGCUGCGGAUGUCAGCGGGCGGGUCCCGGACGGCGUGGCGCCGGGGCGAGCGGCGGCAGUGAACGCGUUUGUGGUUCUCAUCGGAUAGGCAAAAAGUGUCCGGGCGACUCAAGCGUAUGCCACACCCGACCCUCGCACCGCCUGCUGGUGUGGGGCGCCUGAGAGCCACCCCCCGGAGAGAAGGAGGGGAUGCACCAGCGAUGACGACGUGCCUGAUGGGGGAGCGGCUGUGAGGCGCCGUACGAGGUGCGGGGUGGGUAGAGCGGUUUUGGCCCUGACGCUGUAUGACCGAGAAAUGGGGGCGCGCGGACACGAAGCGAACACGUGUGCGUUUCUGCCUUGCGCUGCACCUCUUUUCACUCGACGAGCUUGCCCCGCCUCUUCCCGUCCCCGCUUCCUUCUGAACGGAGGCCGUCUAUGCAUUGUCUACUGCACGUGCUUGUGCGUGGCCCUCAUCUGCAUAUGCGUGUGUGUCCCUGCAGAUGUGUAUACGUGUACGGGUGGAGGUGCGGAUGCGUAGAUGCGGGCUGCACCGGAUAUCUCCUCUCUGUCUCGGUCGUCGCGCGUCUCCGUGCAGACGUGACGGUGACGACAGUGACAGUGAUUCGUUCCUUUUCGUCUUUCGUCUCCGCCGUGGGCGGCGGUUUAUCGAUGCACACGUGUGAGCACGUAUCGGCGUGCCGAUUUGGUGGAGUGCAGAAACGAACGGAAAGGAAGCAACGUGCCACGAAAGCGCACAACAACCGAUAGCGAGAACACGACAUAUACGUAGAGAGACAGGGAGGUGCCGAUGUGGCUGCUCACACUCUUCCCUGCUUCACUUCACUUCAUCAUAUGCGUAUGUACUUCGCGUGUUCGUCCGCGCCUGCGGGUGUCGGUGUGUGCCUGCGUCUCUCUGGAUUCUCUAUUUCCUGUAUAUUUUCUUUACCUUCGUGUGUGUGGUGAUGACUGUAGGCUUCUCGCUUCCCUUCUCUCUGUCCUCUUGCUCUGCUUGUCUCUGCGUAUGGAUAGGUACAUGCAUGCAUGCAUGUACGUGUAUACAUGGGUGUGUACAUGGAUGUCUAUAUGGAUAUAUGUAUAGUUACAUGUACACAUAUAUGGGUUUGUACAUGUGUGCAUGUGUGUUUAUGUGCGUGUAUCGGUGGACCUUCUUUUCAGAUGUGAUGACAGGCACCAUCGACUCGACUCUCUCUUUACCUCUCGUAUACAUGCACGUGUAUACUUGGAGGCAGGCUUGCACACGCUUUCAGCUGGUCGUUUAUGUGCAUAUCCGUGUUUGGCUGGUGUGAGGGUGCGCCCCUUCCUUUUUUUCGUUUGAUUGGCUGGUCCCUCCUCAUGGAACCGCGUCUCUUUUCCUGCGUUGCACACACGAAACACCUCAAAACAUGUUCUUAUUUCUUCUCUGUAUCUGAGCAACCCACAUGAGCACCAGCCUCGUGCCCGGAAUGGCAUGCUGAGAUGCGUGUGCGUGCGCUUGUGUCUGUCUAUGUGUUCUAGCUCUUCUUUCUUUCUCUGCGUCCAAACGCUACUCAUCCUAUUCAUGUCCCCCCCCCCCCAUGUGCAUGCAUGCGUGUGUGUAUGUGUACCCGUUUUAGUCAUGUGCUUCUUCUGCUUUCGCCUUCGCUCGUCGCGGCACCACUCCCCACUCCCCACUCUCUCUCCCUGUAAUGUGUCCAGACUCAUCUUCUGUCGUGCUCGUAAUCGUUUCUGCGUGUAUAUAUAUAUAUUCAUGUGUAUAUAUAUGUAUACAUAUAUAUUUACUGGUGUGUGUGCGUAUGUGUAUCGCUCUGUCUCUGCAUGUGCUUCUUUGCUCAUCCUUUCCAACUCCUUCUCCUUGCUGCUGCAGCCUACGCCUGCACGCGUGCCUUCGACAAGCCUCUCCCGCUUCUUGUGUUUGCUGCCCCCCCCCCCCCCCCCCCCCCGCGUUGAGUUCUUCUGCGUUCGACAAGUGUCACUCGAGAGAGGCAACUGCAUACCAAGUCUCACGCACACCAUGUAAACCUGCAAGCUGCAUGUGCGUGUGUGUGUGUGUCUGUGCUAUCCUCUGCUGCGCUGUGCAUCCUUCUCUUUCUCUCUCUUCCUACAUGCCCUCCCCCACGCAGACGCAGGCGAUAUGUGCGGGCAGUACCGGUGCAUGCAUGGAUGGAUGUGCCUUUGGCCGAUACCGCAUGCGUGCUACGGAUCGGUAAUCUAUCGUGAUCUUUCUCUCUUCUGUGUGUUCGGCUCCUCGCUUCAUCGUGACGGCGCCCUGCGCGCCAUUCUAAGCUGCCACUCGGCUCAUUCAUUUUUUUUUUUGUUGCGAUCAUCAGGAUGACCUUGGCUGUACUGCAAAUCUCCCGCCCCGAGUGCUCAUCGCUCUCGUGAUCUUCUGCCCCCCCCCCCCCCCCCCCCAAUGUACGACUUCCUCCCGGCCUUGACUUUCUUCACCUGCCUCUCCGUCGUGUGCAUCCGCGGUCCCUCUCCCGCGUUCGGCGUUGCUACCAACUACGAUCAGGAGAAAAAGGCGCUGGAUCCGCCCUCGCCAUCUCCGUUUUCGCCCUCCCUCAUCCGCCCACCCCCUGUUGUAUCUUCUCCCCAUCCACGACUUUGUUCAUUCAUCCGUCGUUCAGCGCACUUCGUCUUCUCAGUCCCCCUCUGCACCCCCGCCCACCCCGGCCAUCUCUGCUCCUCACCGUUGCGAGCAUCGUCAUUUUGGUUUUACUUGCCGUGUCCGCGCUGCACGCGAUGGAUGUCUUCUUCCCGCUUCCUCUUCAGGAUCGCCGUGAAUGGGUUGCAUCCGCACCACGGUUGGUCGCUCCUUGUGAAAGGCAGGCAGGAAGAGAUGGCAUAGCAGGCAGGUGUGUGCGUGUGGUGGGUUGGGGCGCUCACACUCUCCAUGGGCAUCUCUGCGUGUGCGCGUUGCUGUGUGCUCGUUCCCGUGCUCGCCUCGCUUCGCUGCUUGGUUUCUGUUCUUCCCGAAAACCCGCUUCGCCUCCACCGCCCUCCGCGGUUGUUGUCCGCGAUGGUGCAAACGCCUCGUCCGUUGGGGAGUGGUGGGAGAGGGGGAAGGGAGGGUGGGUGGGUGCUUGAAAUAGUGAUCGCAUGCGUGUGUCUCUCAUCACUUUACUUAUCGCCCUCACCCCCUUCCCUCUCGUUAAGGCCGCCGUCACCACGCACGGGACCUGCCUGCGCCCCUCUCCAGAAAAUACGCUUCCUUCAUUAUCGUUAUCGUCAUCGUGGUGGUGGACAUAGUCGUCUACGCGGAGCGCUGGCUCUUGUUGCAGGCGCAGCGCCAUCGCGAGAGAGGCGAUAGCUUGCGGGAGCAUGCGUGUGCAGGUGCGUGCGCCACCUCAGCUCAGGGAGAGGUCCAACUUCAUCGACACACGCACGCUCGCAAGCGCACCCCUAGAGAGCGAAAAGAGGAGCUCAGCGGUACACAGGAUCAACGAGAAAGUAACGCGAGCGUCUGAGAGAGAGGGAGGUGAAGGGGGGGUCUUGCGCACGCACAGACCUUCUCCUCUACUCUUCACCCAUUAUAGCCCUUCCACGCACACACACACACACACAAACACCGAGGUGAGGCAUGGCUGUCGCCGCUGAUGGGCGGAGGGUGGACGAAUUAAGGGUUAGCGGCUUAUGUGUGUGUGUGUGUCGACCACGACAGUGCCGCUGCAACCCAACCCUCAUCACCCUCUUUUUUCCGUUUCUUUCUUCAUGUCGAUGUGUGCGCGCGCGCCUUGCUCGCCCUGCACGUGCGGCUAACUCGCCAUGAAACGAGCUAGUGAGAGAGAAGGUGCACCAGCAGCAGCAGCACGUGCACGUGGAUGCGAGCGCAGCCCCCGUGACCUAGCGUGGCCUCCAGUAAGAACUCUCUCUCGCCUCAUCUUCGCUUCUCCUUAUCUUCCUAAUCCACUUCCAUCGCUGCGCAUCCUGCCGAACUUUCGUGUGCGUGUGGGAAUGCGCACACGCCUCUGUGUAUGAGCGUGUGUGUGUGUGUGUGUGUGGUACGCGGAACUUGUUCGCCGGUACCCGACGAUUACGUCGCGCAUCUUCUCCAUCUGCGUAUUUGCCCAAG
rnacentral:misc_RNA from 1 species